rnacentral:rRNA from 1 species
AACGAACGCUGGCGGCAGGCUUAACACAUGCAAGUCGAGCGCAUCCUUCGGGGUGAGCGGCAGACGGGUGAGUAACGCGUGGGAAUGUACCCUUUGCUACGGAAUAGCUCCGGGAAACUGGAAUUAAUACCGUAUGAGCCCUUCGGGGGAAAGAUUUAUCGGCAAAGGAUCAGCCCGCGUUGGAUUAGCUAGUUGGUGGGGUAAAGGCCUACCAAGGCGACGAUCCAUAGCUGGUCUGAGAGGAUGAUCAGCCACAUUGGGACUGAGACACGGCCCAAACUCCUACGGGAGGCAGCAGUGGGGAAUAUUGGACAAUGGGCGCAAGCCUGAUCCAGCCAUGCCGCGUGAGUGAUGAAGGCCUUAGGGUUGUAAAGCUCUUUCAGUAGGGAAGAUAAUGACGGUACCUACAGAAGAAGCCCCGGCUAACUUCGUGCCAGCAGCCGCGGUAA